GCACGUGUCCGGGCCCCAAAACACCCGGCCUUUGAUUUGGAGGCCCGGCAGCUUGGCCCCCUAUGCUUAAUUAUAAUCUCUUUACCUAUCUGCAACAUUUGGAGGUUAGAUUGCAAGGACGAAUAAGGGCUGGACACGAAACUAGAUAUGGAGCUCAAGAAAGGAGCACGUCCUUGGCUGACCUUAAAGUUAUACAUCAUGGGUGAAGUUGCUGUUUCUGAGGCUCCAAGGAAUUACAGUCACAGGCAAACAGGGACUUGACAACUAGAAGUAGAAAUGGUAAGUGAGGCUUAAAGUGAUUCAAAACAGAACAUGGAGAAACUGGGCAACCAAAAAUAUCUUUAUGAAUCUGUCAAGAGAUGAGUUAUUUGUAGUAGGUGCCUUGAAAAAGUAAAAACUUAAGACUUGUUAGAUAUAAAACCAGAUUAACACAGGAAGCACCAAGAGUACCUAGUUGACUCAGCUUAUUUAAAACUUUGACUUACAAGAUUAAAUAAGGAUGUGAUAAGUAUGAGAUUGGUUGUACCCUUUUUAUCAGAUUUUGUAUUGUUUGUAAAAGUAACUCCUGUAAGAAACAAUGGUUUUGCUGUUUGGGAAAUUUUUAUUGUGUUAAAAGGUAGUUCAGUAGUCUAGGGAACAACCAUUUUGCUGAUAUUACUCAGUAGGGACUCUCUCUGCUUGAUAAUUAUAAUGAAAAAGUGUCUUUGCACUUUGGUUUGGAAUGAUGCUAAUUUUGUAGUUGGAUUCUCAUAGGGGAGUUGUCCAAUAAUCUCAGCCUGUAUGAUGAAAAGCCAAUAGACUGACUUAAUCAUGGAGGUCUAAUUAGCUCUACCUGAUUUCAGGCAUUGAAAAUUAUUACUUUUGAUAAUUAUUACUAGUAGAUAGACUUAUUUAACCUAAGAUGUCUCUUUUAGGCUUUAGCUGAGAUCUUGGAAGUUGUUGCAGUUGGAUUAUUUUGUAAGUGAAUUAUUUGAAUUGCUACCAAGUGCUAGUUCAGGGAGAAUAGGUUUUGAAUUCAACUUGAUAAAGCUGUGAGUUGCUAAAUCACAACACCACUCAGAUUUAUUUGUAAAACAGGAAUUAUAGCUACUAUUACUGGGGAUCAGUUGCCAUAUGAAGAGUGGUUUUUCAGACUAAAGAAUAUAUGUUCACUUUGGAUUUGGCAGUGAUCUUUAGAAAAAUAUUUGUCCAUUUUCUAAAGCUACUUAACAGGGUUUAUAAUGAUGUCCUCAAAUGUCUGACCUGAAAUCAGCAUGUAGAUAAAUCACAGCACUGAAGUGCCCUGUAACAAAUUGAGCACAACCUUCAUUUCUCUGUGACAAAGUUACAUUUAAUGUAAACUGUAUCUGUAUAGGUUUCCCAAGUCCAGAUGCUGUGGUGAUCACUUAAAUUUGGAUUGAAAUGCAUUGAUCUAUGAGUUACUGUUGAGUAAUGUCAUCUAUGCUGAGCCAAAGACUGAACUGAUAAGGUGACUGAACUGAUAAGCAUAAAAUGUCAAAGGGAUUGGAGAAAAGACCAAUUGAACAAAAAAAAUCUGAGGAACCUGAAUACCAUGGAAGGAAUGCUUUUGAUGAAUUGUCAGAAAUGAAAGUGCUGGUUUAACAUUCCCAGUAAGGUUAGGAACUUUGCUGGAAUCUGAGAAGCUUGAAACAAAUGACCAAUAUGCUGUUAAGGUGUUCCCAACAGAAUUUUAAUAAAGUGAUGUAUAUUAA